rnacentral:rRNA from 1 species
CCCUCCCUCUUUCUUCAUGCCUAACACAUGCAAGUCGAACGAGACCUUCGGGUCUAGUGGCGCACGGGUGCGUAACGCGUGGGAACCUGCCCUUAGGUUCGGAAUAACUCCCCGAAAGGGGUGCUAAUACCGGAUAAUGUCUUCGGACCAAAGAUUUAUCGCCUUUGGAUGGGCCCGCGUUGGAUUAGCUAGUUGGUAGGGUAAAAGCCUACCAAGGCGACGAUCCAUAGCUGGUCUGAGAGGAUGAUCAGCCACACUGGGACUGAGACACGGCCCAGACUCCUACGGGAGGCAGCAGUGGGAAUAUUGGACAAUGGGCGAAAGCCUGAUCCAGCAAUGCCGCGUGAGUGAUGAAGGCCUUAGGGUUGUAAAGCUCUUUUACCCGGGAUGAUAAUGACAGUACCGGGAGAAUAAGCGCCGGCUAACUCCGUG